rnacentral:rRNA from 1 species
AACGAACGCUGGCGGCAGGCCUAACACAUGCAAGUCGAGCGCACCCUUCGGGGUGAGCGGCGGACGGGUGAGUAACGCGUGGGAACGUGCCCUUCUCUGCGGAAUAGCCUCGGGAAACUGAGAGUAAUACCGCAUACGCCCUUUGGGGGAAAGAUUUAUCGGAGAAGGAUCGGCCCGCGUUGGAUUAGGUAGUUGGUGGGGUAAUGGCCCACCAAGCCGACGAUCCAUAGCUGGUUUGAGAGGAUGAUCAGCCACACUGGGGCUGUGACACCGCCCAGUCUCCUUCGACAGGCAGCAGUGGCGUAUCUUAGACGAAGUACGCAACCGUGAUCUAGCCAUCGCGCGGGAGUGAUCAAGGCCAUCGGCUUGUAAUGCCCUUUCAGCUGGCGAGUUAUCGACGGUAACUGCAAAAGAAGCCCCGACUAGCUCAGUG